UACGGAGGAUCCAAGCGUUAUCCGGAAUCAUUGGGUUUAAAGGGUCCGUAGGCGGUUUAGUAAGUCAGUGGUGAAAGCCCAUCGCUCAACGGUGGAACGGCCAUUGAUACUGCUAGACUUGAAUUAUUAGGAAGUAACUAGAAUAUGUAGUGUAGCGGUGAAAUGCUUCGAGAUUACAUGAAAUACCAAUUGCGAAGGCAGGUUACUACUAAUGGAUUGACGCUGAUGGACGAAAGCGUGGGUAGCGAACAGGAUUAGAUACCCUGGUAGUCCACGCCGUAAACGAUGGAUACUAGCUGUUGGGGGCAACUUCAGUGGUUAAGCGAAAGUGAUAAGUAUCCCACCUGGGGAGUACGUUCGCAAGAAUG
rnacentral:rRNA from 1 species